UAUGAAGAACGUAGCGAAAUGCGAUAAGUAAUGUGAAUUGCAGAAUUCAGUGAAUCAUCGAAUCUUUGAACGCACAUUGCGCCCUCUGGUAUUCCGGGGGGCAUGCCUGUUCGAGCGUCAUUAUAACCACUCAAGCUCUCGCUUGGUAUUGGGGUUCGCGGUUUCGCGGCCCCUAAAAUCAGUGGCGGUGCCUGUCGGCUCUACGCGUAGUAAUACUUCUCGCGAUUGAGUUCGAUAGGUCUACUUGCCAGUAACCCCCAAUUUUUACAGGUUGACCUCGGAUCAGGUAGGGAUACCCGCUGAACUUAAGCAUAUCAAUAAGCGGAGGA
rnacentral:misc_RNA from 1 species